rnacentral:lncRNA from 1 species
GAGUGCUAGAGACCUACCCGAUCGCCCGAGUAGAUUGGGUGGAUGCAGAGCUGGCCUGGGGCCCUCCCUGCCCCGCGACUCGGUGGAGAAGCGGUGCACCAAGGCGCAGAAGGAAGUGGAUGAGUCAUUUCUUAGGAUAAGCCCAGUGUGGACAAAUAUGCGGGUGGAACAGGAGGUGUGUGGGCGUUUGUGCUUAAGCUCACAGAUGCUCCCCCUGCAGAUGCCCAGGACCCUGGGUAGAGCCCGGGGACUGCUGGUGAUACCCUCAUGUUGAGAAUGAGGUGAAGAAUUCAGUGUCACCUGGGAACCCAAGUGGUGCCCUGUCCACGGAGGGUGGGGUUGGCAGAGCAUCUGUGCGCCCACUCUUGUCCUUGGCCUGUGAUUUUCACAAGAGGUGGCCAGAGAGCACAGAGUGGAUGCAGCAUUCAUGAGAGUUUCCAAGGAAAAGACCUCAGGAUGAGGAGGAAUGGCCGACGUGUCUGUUGGAGCAAGGAUACGGUUGGUCCUGUAGGUGCAGCAGGCAGCAGGCCUGCCUAAGGAGGUGUGUGAACGGAACAGCAAACACAAGCACCGUGCAGAAAAUACACUUGCGGGACAUGGCCAUCCGGAAGCGCUGAGGGAUGGGAAGGGGGAGCAGCCGCUCCCAAGGCCUCAAAACAUGCUUCCCCUCAGCGUGGUGACCUGUGCCCUGGAGGCGACCUUAACCAGGUGACCGUGUCCUUCUGCCGGGUCUGGGAUAACUGGGCACCAACUUUAACGGCUCAGAGAAAGAUUGGAACUCUUGGCACCCUUGUUUGGAAUGUCUUCCAAGUAGCUAAGGGUGAAUUUUCUUCAAUGAAAUAUAUUAAUUUAUAAGAAGGAAAGAUCAAAAAGCAUACAUUGUUUACAGAACCUUGAAGCAUUUGUGUUUCAACCAGCUCAGCAUUAGAAAGGAAUUUAUCUAAAAUGGGAAAUCACAUUUGGAAACAUUUAAACAACCGCUUCUGGGUCUGGAGAGGCGAUCUGUCGCAGCACGCGUCUGCGGGAACCCUGGUUCUGGAAAGGUUCACCAUGGAUCUGGUCCUGUUAGCGUUUCUGUGGGACACAGGGCUGGGAUCAGAGCAACAAUCACCUUUACAACUCAAGAGUCCCUGUGGGAAGAUGAGCUGCUUGAAUCAAGAGGCUGUAACCAGAGCUCCUUGCCCUCCAGCAUGGCCUCACCCGGCUGCCUGCACAGAGUCCACCUGGUCUUCCACCCACUGGCAUUGGUACCAAAUGCCUGUCUCCGUGCUGUUCCUCCUCUCACUGAUGCCUCAUGGGGCAGGGACAGAGCAUCCCAGACUGCCCCCUAGUCAGGAACCGGCUGUUGGUGAGUCUGUAGCCACAGGAUGCAUGUGCUGGGCAGUCCUUUCAUGACCCAACAGCUUCCACUGGCCUGAAGCCCUAAGCAGUACAAGGAAGAAAGAACAGUGUGAAUCGCUGGUUCUUGACGGAUGUGCCUUAGGUGAGGAGUGAGCGUGCUGAAUCUUCUACUGCAUCUGGAGGAGGAGAAGGAGCCUUGGUGACAUAGGCAGGUGCUUCUGCUUCAACCUUUGGUGCAAGUGAAUAAAGAAAGAAAUAAAGACA